rnacentral:lncRNA from 1 species
CCUCACAUUGCCUUUUUCCUUGCAGAACACGUGUGGGCUCUGCACGGUGCAGAACUGUACGCUUGGUCAGCUCCCGCAGGUCACAGGGAUCAGGACCGAAGGCACAGAGCUGAAAUGUAAUGCUGACAGUCCACAGCUGGUGCAUGGCCUCUACGUGCGGUUUGUCAGUAGCAAGGGUGGUUAUUGGUGACACACCACACUGGUAUUAGAUGCGGCUUACAACAAAACUCCUUACCUGGCUUAACUCUGCUACACGUGCAAAGUUUUCACGCUCAUGUAGUUUCAGCGGUGUAAUUACAUUCUCGUGAAAAAAUAUCCUGUGUAAACAAGCUCUUGGGGACCACUGCCAGAUGACAUGGGUCACAGCAGCUCUCAUGUUGCUCAAAUCUGUGCCCAAGGCUGGGCAGAGAAUGAGACAGCACUGAGUCUUUUGCUGCACUUGAUCUUGAUGAAGCACUCCAGGGAAUCUACUCGGUGUUUACCAGAGAUCCCAUGAGACUGAUGGACGUCUUAAAGCUGCAGGUGAGAAGCCCGCAUGAGAGAGUAUUUGGGUGGAUUUGAAAACUGCUGUAACCUAGAAAAAGUUCUCGAUUUCCUUUGUCCCCAUACGACUACCUAAAUGCAGGCAGCCCCAGCAGGGCUGACACAAAUUGCUGACAGCUUAUUCCAACACAAAACAUCCGCCUCUCCGAACUAAUGGUGUGCACCAGAACCCAACAAGUAGCCUCAAAUGUAGCAGAACUGAAGUCCAUAUUUUGACCAUCUUUGAGAUGCAACACAUUUUUAGGAAUGUUUCACAUCCAUAUAUAUGACAUCUACACUCCAAUGCCUUUCUCUCAGCUGUUUCAGUCUAAAAACCUCAGCUUUUAUUUAUAUUUCUUUUUUUUUUUGCCCCUGCAAACAACUCUUCUCACACAUCCCUCCACAAGCUAUUAACUGCCAUCAAUAGCUGAAAAUGUUUAGCCUUGUGGGAAUACAAGCAACAUCCCAAUGAAAACCAGACUGUGAAAACAGUAAGAGUGAGGCUUCAAGCUCAAAGAGAGGAGAUUUAGGUUGGAUAGAAGGAAAAAGGCUUUUACAGUGAGAGUGGUAAGGCACUGGAACAGGUUGCCCAGAGGUGUGGUUGAUGCCCCGUCCCUGGAGACUUUCAAAGCGAGGUUGGAUCAGGGCCUGAGCAACCUGAUCUAGCUGUAGUGUCCUUGUUCAUUGCUGGGGAGCUGGAGUAGAUGAUUUUUGAAGGUCCCUUCCAACUCUAAGGAUUCGAUUUCUGCACUUUCUCAACUGCUGUAGGUUGACAGGACAAAACUUCAGGUAUCUGUAGAUACUGCCAUGGCUUCACAACGGUCAGCCACAUGAAGACUGAGUAUGCAGAUUGCCCCAAGAUAUGUCUGUAUAAAGGGCAAAUUAUUAAAGCUUUCUGAUGAGUCAGGCUCAUUUCCUCUGGUUGGUGCCACCCUGUUUGGGAUGCAGGGCUUAGCUCCUCCCCGUGCCUGAAACCAGAACCAUGAGCUGUUUAUUCCCCGCGCCUUUGCCCAAAUCAUUGUCCUCUCCAUUACAGCUGGAGACAGGAUGCAAAUCUGCAAACACUUCAGAUGGGAAACAGUCCUUAGCCCUACCAACAGUCCUGCUGUGCAAACAACAGUAAGUGUCUGAAGUUUCAAGUUCCUAGUGAUUAUGUGAUUAAGGGACAGCAAUUAAGAUUCAAAACAAUGCAGGCCAUGGAAAUGCAAAUCAUUCUGGUCUUUCCUAAAGUACUAAAAAUCUCCAAAUCAAACAUCAGUAUCCAAAAUUAGAUCUAUAAUCAAGCAACAGAGAUUACACAACAUUCAUUACGAGGUUUGCAAAAGACCCAGAAGGAAGUAUAGAUCCACUCAUUAGGACUUCUAAUAUCACAGCAAGUAAAUUACUUUUUAAAAACAUCUUGCUUUACAGGGAAUAUGUAAUGUCAGGGGACUCAAACAGGCUCUGAGCAGCUUACACUUUUGGCUGCAGCCCAAGAUAGCAUGAGGCACAAAUCACACAAAUGUCUCAGUUGGUGUAAAUUCUGUGCUCAGCAUCUGCAGAAGCUUUCCUCCUCACUGUGAAAAAAUCCUGGUUGGUGCUUUGCUUCUUUGCCCAAAUUCAAAUAUUCUGUAUGUUGUCAGACAUAUCAGAAAAAUGAUGGUUAUUUCUUGAAUCUGCAUUUUUUUUUGUCCUCUCACUGUGCCAUAUAUAUAUAACGUAUCUCACAAUAUCUAUCCUGUACUGACAGUCAGUUCUAAAGUAACACUAUCAAGAAAAGGAAGUCAACUACAAUGCUGCAAAGAUUUCUUCUUCACAAAGCAAUUUUUUACCUCCUUCAACGGCUUAAAGUUCUGUUAAAAUGUAUUUUUACUGUACAAUUAUUCUGCAGGACUUGAAAUGAGAUUAUUUGGGCAUUAUAGCAGCCUAUAAAUAUUUAAAGCAUAAAACCCCAGAGAGGGUUAAUGUAAUACAGGAAAGUAAUAUUAGAACUACCAGGGUGAAUAAUGGAAUGGAAAGAUGGAAAAGUUUGAAUAUGUUUGAAUAUGGAAUAAUCUCCCAGUAAGAUAGAGCUGAUACUGCAUUACUUGGCGUUAUUUCAGUUACAAUCCCAAAACAACACUCAAAAUAUACAGAGUUAAAACACUGAUGAGAGACACAUUAGAACAUGAAACUGAG